CUCCAGCCACCGCUGCCCCCUUCUCGCUCACAGAUCCAAUCCAAGUCAGAACCCCUCGCCCUCCUGCCCCAGGCCUCCAUCUCCAUCCCUACGUGCAUUGUCCACCUCCCUCCGGUGGAGCUCGACUCCCACCCCCCAAGCGCCGCUGCUCUAGCCUUUCUCGCGCACAUCCAUAGGAGGACGUGACGGUGGAGCGGACGCCCGAGGAGGAGGAGGGAAGGCUGAGGUACCUCGAGUUCGUGUAGCAGGCGGCCGCACAAGCUAUCGUGCUAGCCGCUGCGGCCUACGCGUACGCUGAGCAGGGCGCUGGCUCGCUCCACCCCGGCGUCGACCACAUCAAGGGGACCAUCAAGGCCGUCAUUGGCCCUGUCUAUGACCGCUACCAUGCCAUGCCGCUCGAUCUCCUCAAGUUCCUCGACUGCAAGCACCGCCGGAUUCGAGGGUGGAGGCCGAGCCUCCACUAGAGCAUGGAUCAGACAUGCAGGAGGUGGGGCUCCGCAUGGAUCAGGAUGUGGUCGUCGUGGGGGCCUAGAUCAUCAAGUCCGCAGGCGGUGUUGGGGGCGGUUUAGUGCUAGCUGCUAGACAUCUGUCACCCUGGGUUGGUGCUGAUGCACAAGGUGAAUUUUGAUGCCAAGACGGAGUACGACAUGAUCCAGUACUCAAGUUAUGCUCAUAGCUGUGUAUAGUACUAAACUUGUACAAUUCUUGUCCUGUUUCCUCACAACAUUAAGAUUAGAGUCGUGUUUUCUGAAUGUUUUGCUGAUUUUUAUGGCCUAUGUGCUAGCAAACUGAGCUAAGGUGCUUCAUCUCUAUCCUUCAACUUCUAUUCUUAUGACAAUUAAAUAGAGGAUCUAUUUUGCUCCCUGCUCUCAUUGGUUUCAAUAGAUAUUUGUCUGAUCCAGCACUCUGAGUAUCAUUGUGUUGUUUUAAUCCUGAUGAUGAUGUGGUUGUAUAAAGUGGUCACCAUAUUCCUUUUUAAAUGCACAAGGAAUAAUUUGUUUCGUCAUGUCCUGGUUUACUAAUGUCUGAUUUGUUGCUUCCGAAACUCUUGGUCCUUCAUAUCUAAAGUUUACAUGUACUGUAGAAGCUCUACUUUAUGCUAAUACAUGCCUAUGUAACAUUUCACAUGGUAUACUUCUAAAUGGACAAGUACAGGCGGCGUCCAUCAUCAACGAUGAUGCAGACUAGAUGUUCAACUACAGAACCAUCCAUCACAUCAACACAAUGUUAGAUAUUUUGCAUCAGGAAGAAGUAGUACUUGAAGAAGCAGAUUACAUGUUUUCUCGUCGUGAAGAACUAGAUAGGCUUGUUCUAUUUCCUUUUCCAAUUCUGGAGUAUUUCAGCAGCUGAAUGCUUGACUACAACAUGUUGUAGGUUGCUUGGAUCUGUAUAAAAUACGUAUGUGAUGGAAAUUUGUAGAAUGUGUGUUCUGAGAUAUUUCCGUAAUAUUUAGCUAA